rnacentral:rRNA from 1 species
GGGUUGUGAGGUUAAGCGACUAAGCGUACACGGUGGAUGCCCUGGCAGUCAGAGGCGAUGAAGGACGUGCUAAUCUGCGAUAAGCGUCGGUAAGGUGAUAUGAACCGUUAUAACCGGCGAUUUCCGAAUGGGGAAACCCAGUGUGUUUCGACACACUAUCGUUAAGUGAAUACAUAGCUUAACGAAGCGAACCGGGGGAACUGAAACAUCUAAGUACCCCGAGGAAAAGAAAUCAACCGAGAUUCCCCCAGUAGCGGCGAGCGAACGGGGAGCAGCCCAGAGUCUGAAUCAGCGCGUGUGUUAGUGGAACGGUCUGGAAAGUCCGGCGGUACAGGGUGAUAGCCCCGUACACUAAAAUGCACACGUUGUGAACUCGAAGAGUAGGGCGGGACACGUGGUAUCCUGUCUGAAUAUGGGGGGACCAUCCUCCAAGGCUAAAUACUCCUGACUGACCGAUAGUGAACCAGUACCGUGAGGGAAAGGCGAAAAGAACCCCGGCGAGGGGAGUGAAAAAGAACCUGAAACCGUGUACGUACAAGCAGUGGGAGCCUACUUGUUAGGUGACUGCGUACCUUUUGUAUAAUGGGUCAGCGACUUAUAUUCUGUAGCAAGGUUAACCGUAUAGGGGAGCCGCAGGGAAACCGAGUCUUAACUGGGCGUUAAGUUGCAGGGUAUAGACCCGAAACCCGGUGAUCUAGCCAUGGGCAGGUUGAAGGUUGGGUAACACUAACUGGAGGACCGAACCGACUAAUGUUGAAAAAUUAGCGGAUGACUUGUGGCUGGGGGUGAAAGGCCAAUCAAACCGGGAGAUAGCUGGUUCUCCCCGAAAGCUAUUUAGGUAGCGCCUCGUGAACUCAUCUUCGGGGGUAGAGCACUGUUUCGGCUAGGGGGUCAUCCCGACUUACCAACCCGAUGCAAACUACGAAUACCGAAGAAUGUUAUCACGGGAGACACACGGCGGGUGCUAACGUCCGUCGUGAAGAGGGAAACAACCCAGACCGCCAGCUAAGGUCCCAAAGUCAUGGUUAAGUGGGAAACGAUGUGGGAAGGCACAGACAGCCAGGAUGUUGGCUUAGAAGCAGCCAUCAUUUAAAGAAAGCGUAAUAGCUCACUGGUCGAGUCGGCCUGCGCGGAAGAUGUAACGGGGCUAAACCAUGCACCGAAGCUGCGGCAGCGACACUAUGUGUUGUUGGGUAGGGGAGCGUUCUGUAAGCCGUUGAAGGUGGCCUGUGAGGGUUGCUGGAGGUAUCAGAAGUGCGAAUGCUGACAUAAGUAACGAUAAAGCGGGUGAAAAGCCCGCUCGCCGGAAGACCAAGGGUUCCUGUCCAACGUUAAUCGGGGCAGGGUGAGUCGACCCCUAAGGCGAGGCCGAAAGGCGUAGUCGAUGGGAAACAGGUUAAUAUUCCUGUACUCGGUGUUACUGCGAAGGGGGGACGGAGAAGGCUAUGUUAGCCGGGCGACGGUUGUCCCGGUUUAAGCAUGUAGGCGGAACGAUUAGGUAAAUCCGGUCGUUUAUUAACGCUGAGGUGUGAUGACGAGGCACUACGGUGCUGAAGUAACAAAUGCCCUGCUUCCAGGAAAAGCCUCUAAGCAUCAGGUAACAACGAAUCGUACCCCAAACCGACACAGGUGGUCAGGUAGAGAAUACCAAGGCGCUUGAGAGAACUCGGGUGAAGGAACUAGGCAAAAUGGUGCCGUAACUUCGGGAGAAGGCACGCUGAUGGUAGGUGAAGUGACUUGCUCAUGGAGCUGAAAUCAGUCGAAGAUACCAGCUGGCUGCAACUGUUUAUUAAAAACACAGCACUGUGCAAACACGAAAGUGGACGUAUACGGUGUGACGCCUGCCCGGUGCCGGAAGGUUAAUUGAUGGGGUUAUCCGUAAGGAGAAGCUCUUGAUCGAAGCCCCGGUAAACGGCGGCCGUAACUAUAACGGUCCUAAGGUAGCGAAAUUCCUUGUCGGGUAAGUUCCGACCUGCACGAAUGGCGUAAUGAUGGCCAGGCUGUCUCCACCCGAGACUCAGUGAAAUUGAACUCGCUGUGAAGAUGCAGUGUACCCGCGGCAAGACGGAAAGACCCCGUGAACCUUUACUAUAGCUUGACACUGAACAUUGAGCCUUGAUGUGUAGGAUAGGUGGGAGGCUUUGAAGCGUGGACGCCAGUCUGCGUGGAGCCAACCUUGAAAUACCACCCUUUAAUGUUUGAUGUUCUAACGUAGACCCGUGAUCCGGGUUGCGGACAGUGUCUGGUGGGUAGUUUGACUGGGGCGGUCUCCUCCCAAAGAGUAACGGAGGAGCACGAAGGUUAGCUAAUCCUGGUCGGACAUCAGGAGGUUAGUGCAAUGGCAUAAGCUAGCUUGACUGCGAGCGUGACGGCGCGAGCAGGUGCGAAAGCAGGUCAUAGUGAUCCGGUGGUUCUGAAUGGAAGGGCCAUCGCUCAACGGAUAAAAGGUACUCCGGGGAUAACAGGCUGAUACCGCCCAAGAGUUCAUAUCGACGGCGGUGUUUGGCACCUCGAUGUCGGCUCAUCACAUCCUGGGGCUGAAGUAGGUCCCAAGGGUAUGGCUGUUCGCCAUUUAAAGUGGUACGCGAGCUGGGUUUAGAACGUCGUGAGACAGUUCGGUCCCUAUCUGCCGUGGGCGCUGGAGAAUUGAGGGGGGCUGCUCCUAGUACGAGAGGACCGGAGUGGACGCAUCACUGGUGUUCGGGUUGUCAUGCCAAUGGCAUUGCCCGGUAGCUAAAUGCGGAAAAGAUAAGUGCUGAAAGCAUCUAAGCACGAAACUUGCCCCGAGAUGAGUUCUCCCUGACCCUUUAAGGGUCCUGAAGGAACGUUGAAGACGACGACGUUGAUAGGUCGGGUGUGUAAGCGUAGCGAUACGUUGAGCUAACCGAUACUAAUGAACCGUGAGGCUUAACCUUACAACGCCGAAGCUGUU